UACGUAGGGUGCGAGCGUUAAUCGGAAUUACUGGGCGUAAAGCGUGCGCAGACGGUUUUGUAAGCCAGAUGUGAAAGCCCCGGGCUUAACCUGGGAAUGGCAUUUGGGACUGCAAGGCUUGAGUGCGGCAGAGGAGACUGGAAUUCCUGGUGUAGCAGUGAAAUGCGUAGAUAUCAGGAGGAAUACCGAUGGCGAAGGCAGGUCUCUGGGCUGACACUGACGCUCAUGCACGAAAGCGUGGGGAGCAAACAGG
rnacentral:rRNA from 1 species